CGUGUAGGCGGCUUGGUAAGUCGGGUGUGAAAGCCCGGAGCUCAACUCCGGAACUGCACUCGAAACUGCCUCGCUCGAGUCCCGGAGAGGGUGGUGGAAUUCCCGGUGUAGAGGUGAAAUUCGUAGAUAUCGGGAGGAACACCAGUGGCGAAGGCGGCCACCUGGACGGUGACUGACGCUGAGACGCGAAAGCGUGGGGAGCAAACAGGAUUAGAUACCCUGGUAGUCCACGCCGUAAACUUUGGGUGCUAGGCGUCGCGGGUAUUGACCCCCGCGGUGCCGCAGCUAACGCGUUAAGCACCCCGCCUGGGGAGUACGGUCGCAAGACUAAAA
rnacentral:rRNA from 1 species